CCUGGCUCAGGAUGAACGCUAGCGGCAGGCCUAAUACAUGCAAGUCGGACGGGAUCCAUCGGAGAGCUUGCUCGAAGAUGGUGAGAGUGGCGCACGGGUGCGUAACGCGUGAGCAACCUACCUCUAUCAGGGGGAUAGCCUCUCGAAAGAGAGAUUAACACCGCAUAACAUCAACAGUUCGCAUGUUCAGUUGAUUAAAUAUUUAUAGGAUAGAGAUGGGCUCGCGUGACAUUAGCUAGUUGGUAGGGUAACGGCUUACCAAGGCGACGAUGUCUAGGGGCUCUGAGAGGAGAAUCCCCCACACUGGUACUGAGACACGGACCAGACUCCUACGGGAGGCAGCAGUAAGGAAUAUUGGUCAAUGGGCGGAAGCCUGAACCAGCCAUGCCGCGUGCAGGAUGACUGCCCUAUGGGUUGUAAACUGCUUUUGUCCAGGAAUAAACCUAGAUACGUGUAUCUAGCUGAAUGUACUGGAAGAAUAAGGAUCGGCUAACUCCGUGCCAGCAGCCGCGGUAAUACGGAGGAUCCGAGCGUUAUCCGGAUUUAUUGGGUUUAAAGGGUGCGUAGGCGGCCUAUUAAGUCAGGGGUGAAAUACGGUGGCUCAACCAUCGCAGUGCCUUUGAUACUGAUGGGCUUGAAUCCAUUUGAAGUGGGCGGAAUAAGACAAGUAGCGGUGAAAUGCAUAGAUAUGUCUUAGAACUCCGAUUGCGAAGGCAGCUCACUAAGCUGGUAUUGACGCUGAUGCACGAAAGCGUGGGGAUCGAACAGGAUUAGAUACCCUGGUAGUCCACGCCCUAAACGAUGAUAACUCGAUGUUGGCGAUAGACAGCCAGCGUCCAAGCGAAAGCGUUAAGUUAUCCACCUGGGGAGUACGCCCGCAAGGGUGAAACUCAAAGGAAUUGACGGGGGCCCGCACAAGCGGAGGAGCAUGUGGUUUAAUUCGAUGAUACGCGAGGAACCUUACCCGGGCUUGAAAGUUAGUGAAGAGUGCAGAGACGCACUCGUCCUUCGGGACACGAAACUAGGUGCUGCAUGGCUGUCGUCAGCUC
rnacentral:rRNA from 1 species